UACGGGGGGGGCAAGCGUUGUUCGGAAUUACUGGGCGUAAAGGGCUCGUAGGUGGCCAACUAAGUCAGACGUGAAAUCCCUCGGCUUAACCGGGGAACUGCGUCUGAUACUGGAUGGCUUGAGUUCGGGAGAGGGAUGCGGAAUUCCAGGUGUAGCGGUGAAAUGCGCAGAUAUCAGGAAGAACACCCGUGGCGAAAGCGGCUCUCUGGAACGGUACUGACGCUGAGACGCGAAAGCGUGGGAGCGAACAGG
rnacentral:rRNA from 1 species